GAUUGCUUUCUCUCUCUAUCUCUUUAAUACUCGCUCUUUAAAAUUGUACUGAGGAGAAGGAAUCAGCGAAAAUAGUAUUUACUUGUUCAAACACUGAAAAUGCAGAAAAUACUAAGUACCAUGCAGUCGGAGUGUAUGCCUAAUCGUUCUAAUACGAACCCUGGGGCUGCAGUAAACAGUGUUCAUGAGUAUUUAUUCGUGUGGCGUGACUAGGCCUUAUUAUAUGAGUCAGCAAAAAUCAUACAUUCAUAUGAACAAAAAACCGAUAUAUUAAAAACCACGUCACUCUACAGCAGUUCCAGAAAAUACAUUUGUUUGAACUAAAUAUAACUGAAUGUCCUCUUGUGUAUUCUUUAUAAUAUAGAGGCGGGACGUUAAAGUUUGUUAAUCAUCGGCUAUUGGAUGUCAAACAUUUGGUAAUUUUGACAUAAAGUGUUUAGAGUGGAAACCUGUUAAAUGUUUCCAUUAGUAGCAAGGAAUGUUUUAUAUGCACCAUCCCACACAUAGAAUAAAUAUUAGUGUUUAAA